AUUGAACGCUGGCGGCAGGCCUAACACAUGCAAGUCGAGCGAGCGGCGGACGGGUGGGUAAAGUAUGGGGACUGCCCGAUAGAGGGGGAUAACUACUGUAAAAGGUGACUACUACCGCAUACUGUCGGAUAACCCAUAUGGGAUUAGCUAGUAGGUCAGGUAAUGGCUUACCAAGGCGACGUAACCUAGCUGGCUGGAGAGGAUGAUCAGCAAAACUGGAUCGGAGCCACGGCCCAGACUCCAACGGAGGCAGCGGUGGGGAAUAUUGCACAGUGGGCGCAAGCCGGCGGCAGCCAGGCCGCGUGUAUGAAGAAGGCCCUAGGUUUGUAAAGUACUUUCAGUCGGGAGGCGUUACCGACAGAAGAAGCACCGGCUAACUCCGUGCCAGCAGCCGCGGUAAUUC
rnacentral:rRNA from 1 species